GUCUAUGGCCAUACACCCCUGAACACGCCCACUCUUGUCUGAUCUUGGAUGCUGAGCAGGAUCAGGCAGGGUUAGUACUUGGAUGGGAGACAGUCGUGUAUGUGUUUUAUUUGCC
rnacentral:rRNA from 1 species